rnacentral:rRNA from 1 species
GACGAACGCUGGCGGCGUGCUUAACAAAUGCAAGUCGAACGGAAAGGCCCUGCUUUUGUGGGGUGCUCGAGUGGCGAACGGGUGAGUAACACGUGAGUAACCUGCCCUUGACUUUGGGAUAACUUCAGGAAACUGGGGCUAAUACCGGAUAGGAGCACCUGCUGCAUGGGGGGGGUUGGAAAGUUUCGGCGGUUGGGGAUGGACUCGCGGCUUAUCAGCUUGUUGGUGGGGUAGUGGCUUACCAAGGCUUUGACGGGUAGCCGGCCUGAGAGGGUGACCGGCCACAUUGGGACUGAGAUACGGCCCAGACUCCUACGGGAGGCAGCAGUGGGGAAUAUUGCACAAUGGGCGGAAGCCUGAGGCAGCAACGCCGCGUGCGGGAUGACGGCCUUCGGGUUGUAAACCGCUUUCGCCUGUGACGAAGCGUGAGUGACGGUAAUGGGUAAAGAAGCACCGGCUAACUACGUG